AUAGAUACUUGGGCAUGAGCAAGCAAUUGUUGCUGUAUCAUAGAGAGCCAGGUCACCUGAGAAGUGCAAGAAUGCUGCAGCCUGGCUACAACAGCUGAGAUUUAGAGAUCACGUCCUCUCUUCCACUGGCAUAAAAUGCUCAGGGCCUAUGCUACAUCAUCUCGCAUCUGCUCCAGCAGGAAGAGCAGAUCAGGUAGGACUGCAGGCAGUUGGCAGACUUCAGAGGCACGCCCACAACAUCCCAAGCUUUGGCUCUGAGGAGGAUCAGAGUGGAGGAGUAACCCCUUCUGAAAGGAAGGAAGGGGCAAUCUGCUUACGUAUCAUAUUCCUGGCUGCCUUCCAAUGGAACAGGACAGGAUAUAUAUGAGCACGUCACAACAAAGCACUCUGCCCAUCCAUAAGGAUGGAGGAAGAAGAACUAGAGAAGAAUUGAUAAGUAAAACUGGAAAUAACUUCACCAGAUGGAGAUGUGCAUUGGCUAAUCCUUGAUCUGGAUGGAGGACAGUGC
ensembl:lncRNA